rnacentral:misc_RNA from 1 species
GAUGAAGAACGUUAGCGAAAUGCGAUAAGUAGUGUGAAUUGCAGAAUUCAGUGAAUCAUCGAAUCUUUGAACGCACAUUGCGCCCCUUGGUAUCCCGAGGGGCAUGCCUGUUCGAGCGUCAUUUCACCACUCAAGCCUGGCUUGGUGUUGGGCGACGUCCUCUUUGGGGACGCGCCUCGAAACGCUCGGCGGCGUGGCACCGGCUUUAAGCGUAGCAGAAUCUUUCGCUUUGGAAGUCGGGGCCCCGUCUGCAGGAAGACCUGCUCGCAAGGUUGACCUCGGAUCAGGCAGGGAUACCCGCUGAACUUAAGCAUAUCAAUAAGCGGAGGA